AAGAGAGAGUCAAAAGACCGUGAAACCGCUCAGAGUAUAAGCCAAUGGAGCUUGGAAGGCUUCCGCAGUCGGGUCCAUCAUACGUGGUGUUCUUAAGACCUUGAGUAAAGCUCGUCAGGCGUAGCAUUGAGUUUGCCAGGUUUAGCUGUCGUGCGGGGGCUUAGCGAGGGGGGACUUUGCUUCGGCUUAGCUAUCUCCCGAGCGGCCCUUUGGAAUGGACGUUCAGAGGCUCUUGGUCUAAUGCGGUUAUGCCCACCACAGCACGUUGUGAGGUCACCCACAGGCUCAAACUGCCGAUCGCGCAUCCAGGACGAUGGCAACGAUGCGUUGUUGAUGAUGGCUCGAAAGAGACUUGACUCAGACGCGUGUCUAGUCCUGGGUCGGGCGGCGACCGAGAUAAACCUGGUAUGAUCCUCUUGCGACGAGCUGCUUUCUGGCCAGACCGACGUCCGGGCGCUUCCACUGUGCCGGAAGUGUCUAUCCCAGGCGGUCUUGACCCAGCUGCAUUAUGCAAGGUCUUCUCAGCCGGGCGUUGGUCUGAGUGGUGUUAAGUCCAGCACCAUCGGUCACGUCUCGAAACACGGGCCAAGGAGUAUAGCAUGUGUGCAAGUCUAAGGGUCUCACAAAACCCGAAGGCGAAGUGAAAGCAAGACUGUGGCGGGNGAGCUACGGCAAACCCGCCGGCCUGGUGGCGCGUGCGUCGCCGGCUUAAACAGAGCUGAUCCUGUUUUCUCGGUUAAUUCUUGGUGCAGGCGCAAGCUCCGGGCUCACGUACAACACUGGUCACGCCUCGUGUGUGGCUGUGUUGUGAGCACCG
rnacentral:rRNA from 1 species